AUGCAGCAUCUUCUCCAGUACACCCUCCAAAGGGUGCCAGGAGGUGGUGGCACAGCACAACCCAGGUGGACCUCAUCCAGCCCCAAGUCUCGUGGAACAUGGCAGUGGCUAAUAACAUCGGGUAGCCAAGGUGAGAUGCAACAUUUUUCUCAGCGGUUUGGCUCAAAGACACGUUCAGAUCAACCUUCUUGCUGCAGGAUCACAGGACCCACUCAGCUGCUCUGGGUGAGAAGGGGGUGUGGGGCUGAGGAGUUCCAACAGGACAAACACUGUUUGGGUUUUACAGUGCCAUUUACACUAGGAAUGGAAAAAUGUAUUUCCAUUUUCCCCAUCCCAGACAUUCCUGGGAGCAUAGGCUGUGGCUGUGCUAUUUUUAAAAUGAACAAGUUCUUCGGAUGAAAAAGCAAAGUUCCCGAUCCCGUGAAUGCCGCAGUGGAAGGAUCUGUCCCCUGGCAGCCAGGCUCCCUGCCAGCUGGCCCCACUGCCCGCCAAGCCCUGUCCCAGAGAUGCACAAGCUGUCUCCUAUCCGGCAGGUUGGGCUGGAACAAUGGGAUUGAGACAUUGCGAGAUAGCAUCUGGGAGAGCGAGAGAAAUCAAGGUGAGUUGGUUUGUCAAUCCUGGCCACGUGCUGUAAAGCAAACAGCCAGUGUGUUGCCCUCACAGCUCCAGCCGUGUUGUGCCUUCCUGGCACAUCUGUAUGUCUGUCUGCACUGCACAUGUCCAUCUGUCCGAUGCCCAGUGCCACAGCCCCUCUGACCUGCAGUGCCAUCCCACCCCCUGGGCACCCCAAGGGCACCGUGCUGCCUGGAGCAUCCCUAUCAAAGCUGAAUGGUUUGGGGUGGAAAAGCCAUUUAUUUCCUCUCCCCACAAAGUGUGAUGGAAACACUGGCACGGUAUGUCUUAAAUGGAAAAGGGUUUUGCUCCGGAAAAAUGCAAAACCAAACCUGCUUCCAUUUGCUGUGUUUGCUCUCCCUUAUCUGCACUGCAUGUUGGCACACUGUGCCAGCGGGCUGCUGCCCCAGCACCAGCCUGCUGCAGCCUUCUCCUGUUCCUAGCCCAGUUCUAUACUAGCUACUUUGUACCCAUUGAAACAACUCACUUCCUUUGCUAGAUCAAGGUCUUCCCACCCCCUGUUACAGUUCACCACUUGGGCAUUUGGAAAUGGCGAAUUUCAGCUGUUCUGGGUCCCUGCGAGGCAUUGCGUUUCCCCAGCACCUGGCUCUGGGUGAGCAGGAUGGGCUGCAACCAGCAGCAAACUGCCAACUGGGGCUGCAGAGAGCCCAGCCAGAUACAGCUUGCCCCGCUCCCAGGAAAGCAACAUUUGGGGAGGUGGGAUCAAAGGGCACUUUCCCUCUGCUGCGAGGGUUUCCUACAGCAACACCUCGAAUAAAGUAGCAACACUGUGCA
rnacentral:lncRNA from 1 species